UACGUAGGGGGCAAGCGUUGUCCGGAAUCAUUGGGCGUAAAGAGCGUGUAGGCGGCUCGGUAAGUCUGCUGUGAAAGUCCAGGGCUCAACCCUGGAAGGCCGGUGGAAACUGUCGGGCUAGAGUCCGGAAGAGGCGAGUGGAAUUUCCGGUGGAGCGGUGAAAUGCGUAGAGAUCGGAAAGAACACCAACGGCGAAAGCGCUCUGCUGGGCCGACACUGACACUGAGAGACGAAAGCGAGGGGAGCGAAUGGG
rnacentral:rRNA from 1 species